rnacentral:rRNA from 1 species
UAGAGUUUGAUUCUGGCUCAGGACGAACGCUGGCGGCGUGCCUAAUACAUGCAAGUCGAGCGCGGGAAGCAUUUCAGAUCUCUUCGGAGUGACGAAUGUGGAACGAGCGGCGGACGGGUGAGUAACACGUGGGCAACCUGCCUGUAAGACUGGGAUAACCCCGGGAAACCGGAGCUAAUACCGGAUAAUUUGGGUCACCGCAUGGUGACCGAAUGAAAGAUGGUUUCGGCCAUCACUUACAGAGGGGCCCGCGGCGCAUUAGCUAGUUGGUAAGGUAAUGGCUUACCAAGGCAUCGAUGCGUAGCCGACCUGAGAGGGUGAUCGGCCACACUGGGACUGAGACACGGCCCAGACUCCUACGGGAGGCAGCAGUAGGGAAUCUUCCGCAAUGGACGAAAGUCUGACGGAGCAACGCCGUGUGAGUGAGGAAGGUUUUCGGAUCGUAAAGCUCUGUUGUUGGUGAAGAACCCUCUUGUGAGGAAAUGCACAGGAGUUGACGGUAGCCAACCAGAAAGCCCCGGCUAACUACGUGCCAGCAGCCGCGGUAAU